rnacentral:rRNA from 13 species
ACCUGCGGAGGGAUCAUU